UUACGGCCAUAUCACGAUCAAACACCGGUUCACGUAAGUUAAGCAACAUCGGGCCUGGUCAGUACCUAGAUGGGUGGCCACUUGGGAAUACCAGGUGCUGUAAG